AUUGAACGCUGGCGGCAGGCCUAACACAUGCAAGUCGAACGAGUGGCGGACGGGUGAGUAAUGUCUGGGAAAAUGCCUGAGGGAGGGGGAUAACUACUGGAAACGGUAGAUAAUACCGCAUACCAUCAGAUGUGCCCAGAUGGGAUUAGCUAGUUGGUGGGGUAACGGCUCACCAAGGCGACGAUACCUAGCUGGUCUGAGAGGAUGACCAUCCCCACUGGAGCUGAGACACGGUCCAGACUCCUACGGUAGGCAGCAGUGGGGAAUAUUGCACAAUGGGCGCAAGCCUGAUGCAGCCUUGCCGCGUGUAUGAAGAAGGCCUUCGGGUUGUAAAGUACUUUCAGCGGGGAGGCGUUACCCGAAGAAGAAGCACCGGCUAACUCCGUGCCAGCAGCCGCGGUAAUAC
rnacentral:rRNA from 1 species